rnacentral:tRNA from 1 species
GCCUGGGUGGCUCAGUCAGUUGAGUAUCUGACUUCGGCUCAGGUCAUGAUCUCACAGUUUGUGAGUUUGAACCCCGUUUUGGGCU